rnacentral:rRNA from 1 species
AGCAGCCGCGGUAAUUCCAGCUCCAAUAGCGUAUAUUAAAGUUGUUGCAGUUAAAAAGCUCGUAGUUGAAUUUCGGGGUUAGUAGGUUGGUCAUGCCUCUGGUAUGUACUGAUCUCACUGAUUCCUCCUUCCUGAUGAACCGUAAUGCCAUUAAUUUGGUGUCUUGGGAAACCAGGACUGUUACUUUGAAAAAUUAGAGUGUUUAAAGCAGGCUCACGCUUGAAUACAUUAGCAUGGAAUAAUGAAAUAGGACGUUUGAUUCUAUUUUGUUGGUUUCUAGGAUCGACGUAAUGAUUAAUAGGGAUAGUUGGGGGCAUUAGUAUUCAAUUGUCAGAGGUGAAAUUCUUGGAUUUAUUGAAGACUAACUACUGCGAAAGCAUUUGCCAAGGAUGUUUUCAUUAAUCAAGAACGAAAGUUAGGGGAUCGAAGACGAUCAGAUACCGUCGUAGUCUUAACCAUAAACUAAU